GGGAGCCAGCCCCAAAGCUCAGGGUCUGUGCGGCAGGCUCCAAGGUGCUCCAGAAGACACGCUGCUGUGCCCCACGCGGGCCUGCAGCAGGCUGAGCACACCGUGCUGGCACGCAGGCUCCAGCAGGCUGUGACCUCCCCCAGAACUGCUGCAUGUGGGCUUGUGAGCGGUGUUUGCAGUUUGGAGAUGGCGGAAGGAUGGUAGUUGAGGUGUUGGCAGGUAUCAGCUUCCCGCCUUCAACCAGAAGGAAACUGUGGUGGAGUCAUGCAGGCAACACAGAACCCAAACCUGCUUUUAUGUACUACGUUGGACUCAACGUUCCAGCCUCCUGCUUGGGGUUUUUGGGGGGCUGGGGUCUGUAACUCCCACGUGCAUGCAGCCCCCUCCAGGUGGGUACGGUGCGCGCCUCUUCUCUCCCCCUGCAGCACUGCCCAGCCUUGUGCUCUCCCCUCUGCCUGCCAGGGACCUGCUGCAGCCUGUAGGGUGCAGAGCUGCUGGUGCUUGGCUAGAGGCAUGGCAGAGCUUGGAUUGCUCCUGCUGGGGCUGGGCAGAUGGCAGACAGGCUGGGCCAUAUCCCACAAAGGGGCACAGAGAAAGCCUCUGCCAGAAGCUUUUGUUUUGCUGCCGGAGCUCUUCUUUCAGCCUUGGUGUUUCCAGGGCAUCAACGGGGCCCUGUGAGCAGGAGCAGCCCUGGGGUGAUGGGGGUGUCUGGCCCUCUUCAGGGAGUCUCAGCAGGGCUGGUGGUGUCGUUUCCUGGUCUGGAUAGAUAUGGACAACCGAGAUGCAGGAGAGAGGCCGGGUUCACUGCUACAGCUUUGAAGUUUUCGAAGCAAACACGUGCAAGUCCUGCAAAGCACAAAAAUAAAGGAGAAGAAAGAGCCAAGCGGGACAGAAACCAGGGAGAAAGGUGGUGAUGGAGACAGCAGGGUGCAGCAAGGAGGAAGAAACACAAUCCACCCAAGUGGGUACAUAAUUUAUUUACCUAUUAGCUAUUAAUAAGCUGGCCUUUUGUAUCAAGUCUCCCGACGUCCUUGUAACAACUUCAGGCCUUUCUGCAGAGCAUCACCCUUUCUGGGCGUUCCUAUGCCACUUGCCAUGCUAACAUGAUUCUUGAUAUGUCCCUCACCCGGCAUUGCACCUUUGUUACUACCAUUCAGCUGAACAAGUAAUUAAUGUGAUUCCCCAUUGCUGCACCGUAACUGUAACCUCCAGGAAAUACCUGUGAGGUGGGAAUAUCUCCUAGGGACACUGCGCAUGUAUUGCUUUGGGUAGUGCCCAAAGAUUGAGGGAGGUCUUUGGGCCCUCCUUGUGAGCUGUGUUAAAGCAGAAUGGCCAAGCUGAUGGCCUGGUUGAGCACUGGACCUUCCCUUCCACCUUUUGCUGUCCAUGAUUACUGCAGGACUGGUUGUGAUACUUGAUACCAAGAUGCAGAUCAGCUGAAUGUAGUGAGGAGAAGACCCAUCCAUCUUGGUCAGCAAACUCACAGCUACCCUGCUGAGCUGAGUGAGUACAGCCUCCAGUGUGUGCCUUCCUCCAUCCUCCUUGCCAAGCUUGAAGAUGGACAAGAGGUGGGUUUAACCCUUCCCAUGUAUUCUUGGGAGAAAAUGCACUUAGAGGCAUAUUUACAGGGUAGUGACCAGGACACCAUACAGUAGGCUUGGAAGGACCCAUUAGAGCAGCCAAGGCCUCCUGUGCCUGUUUCUUCAUGGUUCAGGGAAUAAGUGAGGGAUGUUUGGUGCCACCUGGGAACCCCCUUGAAAGGCUCCCAGGGCCUCCCUGGGCCAUGGAAGUGCCACAGUUCAACUGGUCCCCCAAGUAUGCACCUGGUCCCCAGAGUAUGCACCUGGUAUCCCUUGGGCAUUGCACAGGACAGCAGCAGUGAGGCCAGCACCCAAGCGUGGAGCCACAGCUCCCGUCAAGGUGGCAACAUGCCUUGGUAGGACUGAGCUACAGACCACACCUGGGCAGAGCUGCACAGACACCGACCACAUCCGUAACCACCCAUAGGAUCUUCUAUUGCUGGAGGAAGAACUGUAAUUUAGGCUGCCUGAACUUGGCUGCAGUUCAUCACCCAUAGGAUGCAGAAGAAUCACCUGGUUGACAAGGUUCCCAUUUAUCUCCAGAUAAAAUGGUGCUUGGCUUGUGGCUGUAUACCACAGCUUGUGCUGAUACAGGAUUUUUGGAUGCUCUUGGGUUUGUGCCUGAUCCCAGACAGAUACGCUCUGUGCUUUCAGCAUUUACAGCCUUUAUUUCUUUUCCAAGACUUAA